rnacentral:rRNA from 1 species
AUGGGCAUGGAGAUAUGUAUGCUGCGCGAGCGGGUGCGCGAGCAGAUGGACAAACUAGUGCAGAGUUUGAUCUCGGCAGACAGGGAACAAGAGAAACGGGAGGCAAUCCCCACGUUGCAGUCGAUCUCGGAUACUAUCGGGCGGCUCUGUGCAGCCCACGGGCAACCGCCGGCCAUCGAGGAGUUGGAUGACGAGAAGGUCGAGGCCAUCGACAGCGGCAACCUGAAGGAGGAGGAGGAAGAGGACCUUGAUGAGGCGGGCAUGAGCGGCAGGGAAGGCAGAGUCGCGGAAGAACCGGUGGUCUACCGCGAACGCAAUGCAGCCGCGGAGACCAACCCGGGAGCCGAGGAAGUCGACUACGCCGAGCACGAGGAGGAGGAAAAAAAUCCUAUGCGACCGGGUCGCACAAAGCUGAUCGUGAGACCCUGCCCCGCACGUGACACCUGGCGAUACGAAUCGUAA